CUUAUGCAACCGGUUAAAAUAGUUUAUCACUAUUGAAAAAGGGAUUAAAUUUAAAUUCCAUCAGACGUAUAAUUUUAAGAAGUUGUGCCAGAUAUUUAGCAACCGAUAAUACUCAAACGUAAGCACUUGUUGAAUCGUGGAAAUCUAGGGUCAGCGUAACGGAUUAGUUGUGCUGCUGCUAUAAAUGCACACGCCUUUCAUACAGUAAUAAAUCAAAGUCAAGGAAGAGGACCUUUUAGUCGUUCGAUUCUGCCUUUUCUUAUUCCUCCUACCGUAUUAUGUAAAUAUAUACAUAUACAUAUGUAAAGACAUACAAAAUAUCCGAUUGAAUUACUACAUACAUGUUAUAAUUUUCCAGAAAAUUUGUUCUCUUUUUUUUCAUUCAAAAUUAGUGGAUUUUGAAAAGUAAAAUGUUUAUGGUCUUCAGAUAUAUCUGGACAAAAAGGAUUACUGUAAAUAUGGGUAAGGGAUGUACAUAAAUCAUGUUUCUAAAAAUAAUUAGUCCUCGAGACAACUAUCGAUGACGACCCUCAAUGCUUCCGGGUGUUUAAUGUGACCCUGAUGCACGACAACAAUUUACUGUACUGGCGCUUACGAUAAUUUGCUAAGUACACAAGUCUAGUGUCACGUCGUUUAAGUUAAUUCGAUACCAGACUGUUGUUAUGAACAAGUGAUCAAAGCAUAAUCAUGAAAUUAUUGAGUUUUCUUUACCGACUAAAAUUGAUAUUAUUGUUGAUUGUGAAAAUUAUUUCAGUGAAUUCUGGUUUUAUUGGAGUUGAUUUUUAAAAUUGGCUCCAGUGACGAACGACGACGACGUUGAGUGCGCAGCAGCGCCUCGUUGAUGCCAGGCAUGACGUCAACCGGCUGAGUGUUAUUUUUGAAAGGAGACGAGAGAGAGAGAAAGAUGUUUAUGUGCGUGUGUGCGUCGGUGUUGAGAGUAUACUUGACUCACACUGCCAGCUAAAUAUCAUUUAUAGAAAUUUAAAAACAAGAUAUGUGUUUAAUAUUAUCCAAAAAAAAAAAAACUUGUUAAAUUUACAAAGAAAAUACGAAAAAAACUCAAAGAAAAUACAAAUUUUGGGACAGUGUGAUUGGAGUAAAGUGGCAAGAUGGUUACAUUGUGACGUAAAACAUAAGGAAACAACAUUGUGCAGUAAAUACAGUGCACUUAGUGUUGUGAUAUCUGAGAGUCCAAAGUUUACAGCUUUGUCUCACGAAAAAGCUUUUGUGUGCAUUACGGCACUAACGGAAAACAAAAUUUUAAACACUUUAUAAUAAUAGAACAUUCGGUCUACAUCUUAUUUAUUUGUGUUUAGUGAUUCUUGUAAAAUAUAUAUGAAGAUGUUUUCGGAAAAUAUUGAUUGAGAUGUAUGAAAAUAUAAACAAUUAUUUUUUGAAUAGAGCAGUUGAUUUAAGAUUAAUUUAAGAGUUAU